UUCCUACGGGAGGCAGCAGUAGGGAAUCUUCGGCAAUGGACGAAAGUCUGACCGAGCAACGCCGCGUGAGUGAAGAAGGUUUUCGGAUCGUAAAACUCUUUUGGUAGAGAAGAACGUUGGUGAGAGUGGAAAGCUCAUCAAGAGACGGUAACUACCCAGAAAGGGACGGCUAACUACGUGCCAGCAGCCGAGGUAGUACGUAGGUCCUGAGCGUUGUCCGGAUUUAUUGGGCGUAAAGCGAGCGCAGGUGUUUU
rnacentral:rRNA from 1 species